rnacentral:rRNA from 1 species
GAUGAACGCUAGCGGCAGGCCUAACACAUGCAAGUCGAGGGGUAGUCUCGUUUCGACGAGAUGAGACCGGCGCACGGGUGCGUAACGCGUAUGCAAUCUACCUUUUACAGAGGGAUAGCCCAGAGAAAUUUGGAUUAAUACCUCAUAGUAUAUAUCAUUCACAUGUUUGGUAUAUUAAAGUUCCAACGGUAAAAGAUGAGCAUGCGUCCCAUUAGUUAGUAGGUAAGGUAACGGCUGACCAAGACGAUGAUGGGUAGGGGUCCUGAGAGGGAGAUCCCCCACACUGGUACUGAGACACGGACCAGACUCCUACGGGAGGCAGCAGUGAGGAAUAUUGGUCAAUGGACGCAAGUCUGAACCAGCCAUGCCGCGUGCAGGAAGACGGUCCUAUGGAUUGUAAACUGCUUUUGUACGGGAAGAAACCCUCCGACGUGUCGGAGCUUGACGGUACCGUAAGAAUAAGCAUCGGCUAACUCCGUGCCAGCAGCCGCAGUAACAC